UAGGAGGGUCCUGCUAAGGGAGUUGCAUUGAAAAAAUAAUGACAAAUAGUUUCCAUUUAAGUGUGUGUGUGUGUUUGUUUGUGAAAUUUGUCUGAUUUCUCACUGCCUGGUAGUUUUUAAAUCCACUUAAAACAGUAGUUGCCUGACCAAUUGUGUGGUUUGCACUUCAGAUUUUCCACUGUGUCACUUGUCAAAGGAGGGGUGGGGGCAAUAUAUCAUGCAAAGUGACAAUUCAAUUUAAGGUGCCCCCUUUCUCCACGGCGAUUUUGCUGUAUAGUAGAACCUAACUUAUUUUUGUGUUUGUUUUUACUCAUUUUGCAACUGCAGGUGCAUUUUACCAGUACAGCUGCAAUAGGUGGUAUUUGAGAGGAAUGUAUCAAACUGUCAUCCCUCUGUUUGCCACUGAGCUACGUGAUGAAGGGUUUUCUAUAUACUGGCCGUGGGGAUGAUCUAGCGAGAAGUGUAAAGGGAGGACCGUGGUGCGCUGUUUAUUUUUCACAGCGUCUCUUUUGUACUUGACCAAGCACAAUAAAAUCGCCAUCUCAAUC